UACGGGGGGGGCAAGCGUUGUUCGGAAUUACUGGGCGUAAAGGGCGCGUAGGCGGUUUGUUAAGUUGGAUGUGAAAACUGUGGGCUCAACCCACAGCCUGCAUCCAAUACUGACAGGCUAGAGUUCUGGAGGGGAUAGCGGAAUUCCUGGUGUAGCGGUGAAAUGCGUAGAUAUCAGGAGGAACACCGGUGGCGAAGGCGGCUAUCUGGACAGAGUCUGACGCUGAGACGCGAAAGCGUGGGGAGCGAACAGG
rnacentral:rRNA from 1 species